AACGGCCGCGGUAUAUUGACCGUGCAAAGGUAGCAUAAUCAUUAGUCUUUUAAAAGAGGGCUGGAAUGAAGGGUUUGACGAAGUAUUAACUGUCUCAUUUUAUUUGAAAUUAAAAUUUAACUUCUUAGUUAAAAGGCUUAGAUUUAAUUGGAAGACGAGAAGACCCUAUAGAGCUUUAUAUUAUAUAUUUUAGUUAUUUAUAUAUAAUUUUUAAUUAAAAUAUUUAUUAUUUUGUUGGGGUGACAGAAGAAUAAGAUUAACUUUUUUAUUUAGUUAACAUUAAUAUAUGAAUAAUUGAUCCAUUAUUAUUGAUUAUUAGAUUAAGUUACCUUAGGGAUAACAGCGUAAUCCUCCCCCAGAGUUCAUAUUUACGGGUAGGGCUUGCGACCUCGAUGUUGGAUUAAGAUAAUAGUUAGGUGUAGCCGCUUAAUUUAUAGGUCUGUUCGAC
rnacentral:rRNA from 1 species